AGAGUUCGAUCCUGGCUCAGGAUGAACGCUGGCGGCGCGCCUAACACAUGCAAGUCGAACGGCACCUGCCCUCGGGCAGAAGCGAGUGGCGAACGGCUGAGUAACACGUGGAGAACCUGCCCCCUCCCCCGGGAUAGCCGCCCGAAAGGACGGGUAAUACCGGAUACCCCGGGGUGCCGCAUGGCACCCCGGCUAAAGCCCCGACGGGAGGGGAUGGCUCCGCGGCCCAUCAGGUAGACGGCGGGGUGACGGCCCACCGUGCCGACAACGGGUAGCCGGGUUGAGAGACCGACCGGCCAGAUUGGGACUGAGACACGGCCCAGACUCCUACGGGAGGCAGCAGUGGGGAAUCUUGCGCAAUGGGGGGAACCCUGACGCAGCGACGCCGCGUGCGGGACGGAGGCCUUCGGGUCGUAAACCGCUUUCAGCAGGGAAGAGUCAAGACUGUACCUGCAGAAGAAGCCCCGGCUAACUACGUGCCAGCAGCCGCGGUAAUACGUAGGGGGCGAGCGUUAUCCGGAUUUAUUGGGCGUAAAGCGUGUGUAGGCGGUUUAUUAAGUUUAAGAUUAAAGCCCGGGGCUCAACUCCGGUAAGUCUUAAAAACUGGUAGACUUGAGUACGGUAGAGGCAAACGGAAUUUCUAGUGUAGCGGUGAAAUGCGUAGAUAUUAGAAGGAACACCAGUGGCGAAAGCGGUUUGCUGGGCCGUUACUGACGCUGAGGCACGAAAGCGUGGGGAGCAAAUAGGAUUAGAUACCCUAGUAGUCCACGCC
rnacentral:rRNA from 1 species